CCCAGGGUCCGCACCUGGGGCCCUUGAGAGUAUCAGGUCUCCCAUGUGGGAGACAAGAAAUCCCUGUUUAAUAUUUAAACACAGUGUUCCCC
rfam:Callithrix jacchus chromosome 5, whole genome shotgun sequence